AGAAAAUCGUAUUUUACAUGACUAGGGACAAAAAGAUGAAAACUAGAGUUUUCGUGUGAAUUUUGUUGAUCUGAGGCGAGGCCGAGGUUAAUAAACACGAAAACAAGACUUUGUUUUUAUCCAGAGUUAUGUAAAAUGGAUU